GAGCUUCUGGUGGCGCGGAUUUCCGACGCCGAGAGAGAUGGUGGAGGUGGCGGCGGCGGCGGCGGCGGCGGCGGAGGAUGCUACGAGGGAGAGGUGGUGGCGGUAGUGAGAUAGAGAGAGAGUGACGUGAAGGUGAAGAGAGAGAGAGGAGAGAGGGAUAGAAGUGAGUGGAUAUUUUUUAUUAUUUUAAAGUGAGGGUUAUUUCCGUCUUUUUAAUCAAAAAGUGGACAUUUUUUAUUAUUUUUAUCUUAGUGGACAAUUUUUAUCUUUACAAUAUGAAAGUGGAUAGUUUUAUAUAUUUACUCUUUACUAAUUGUCAUCAUUUCUUUUAUGAUAUCACUUUCGUCCUCUACGACUAGGAUUUCAUGCUGAUGUGAAUCCAAUGAAUAUGAAACAUUGAAU
rnacentral:lncRNA from 1 species